AGUUGCACUUUUGCAAAAAUAUCAAAAAAGUUAUUGGAAAUGGGCUUUAAAGAGAACCAAUUAUUAACGAAUAGUGAGCCUCACAGAAAAAUAGUUUCAGUGCCAAAAAAACCUGCUCUUAGUGAAUCCGGCGUUUUGGAUUCGUUUAUUGAUGUUGAAAUGGAGGAUGACGUUUUUUACAACGAUCAAGUAAACGUUGACCGUCAAUUGUCCUAUGAAGAAGCGAGAAAAGAAGUUAUCACUACGUUUUAUAGUUAAAACACUUUGUGAAAUACGAAAAUCUUAUUUUAAAAAGGCAGCUUUGGAAUAUAGAAGUAAACGUUAUGGAGUAGCCGCAUAUUUGUCCGAUGUGGGCCACAAUCUGAGUGACAAGAUAAAAGAAGCCAACAUUAUUGCUAGUCGAUAUAUAUUUAAUAAUCGCAAUAAAAAUAAUUCUUGUAUGCUGAUGGACUUGCAUGGGCUCCACGUGAAGGAGGCGCUCUUAUUUGUGAAAGAGAGAAUUCUUUUUUUGAAAAAUGUAAAAAGGAGAUCAGAAGAUCCACCUAAAGGGUUUUUAAAAAUUAUUACGGGAUCUGGCCGGCAUAGCUCGACGGGCAUAAGCAAAGUUAAGAAGGCUCUGGAAAUCUUUUUGAAAAAGAACAACUUUUCUUACAGGAAACUUACAGAUGGAACUUUAGAGCUGAAAAUUUAAUU